rnacentral:rRNA from 1 species
CCACCCGUGUUUAUUUACCUCGUUGCUUCGGCGGGCCCGCCUUAACUGGCCGCCGGGGGGCUCACGCCCCCGGGCCCGCGCCCGCCGAAGACACCCCCGAACUCUGCCUGAAGAUUGUCGUCUGAGUGAAAAUAUAAAUUAUUUAAAACUUUCAACAACGGAUCUCUUGGUUCCGGCAUCGAUGAAGAACGCAGCGAAAUGCGAUACGUAAUGUGAAUUGCAAAUUCAGUGAAUCAUCGAGUCUUUGAACGCACAUUGCGCCCCCUGGUAUUCCGGGGGGCAUGCCUGUCCGAGCGUCAUUGCUGCCCUCAAGCCCGGCUUGUGUGUUGGGCCCCGUCCUCCGAUUCCGGGGGACGGGCCCGAAAGGCAGCGGCGGCACCGCGUCCGGUCCUCGAGCGUAUGGGGCUUUGUCACCCGCUCUGUAGGCCCGGCCGGCGCUUGCCGAUCAACCCAAAUUUUUAUCCAGGUUGACCUCGGAUCAGGUAGGGAUACCCGCUGAACUUAAGCAUAUC